CAUUAUCGGCUAAGCAACUGAAUUUAGCCUGCUAAACCAGCAUGACAAUGGCGGGUUGAAUAAUCAAGAAGAUCCCAAUUCAUUCAAAGCUCUAACUAUCACUGAGCAACACAUGCUUCAAUGACAAUCUGAACUUCGAAUUAAUUUGUAAAACGGAAAUUCUUUAGAAACUUGAAGAUUAGAAAGAAUGGGUCAGAAUACUCGCACUUUCGAACAUUGAAAAGAAAGGUAUGAAUACUUGAAACAUAUACCAAAGGAAUGGAUCAGAUUAUUUGCAAUAUAUCCAAGAGAAAGGUUUAGGAUACUUGCAACACAU
rnacentral:lncRNA from 1 species